GACGAACGCUGGCGGCGUGCUUAACACAUGCAAGUGGAGCGACGAACCGGGCUUCGGCCCGGGGCAAAGCCGCGAACGGGUGAGUAACACGUGGGUAACCUGCCCUGAAGACCGGGACAACUCGAGGAAACUCGAGCUAAUACCGGAUGUGUUCACUAUCCAUAAGAACAGAGAGAAAAAGAAGCUUCGGCCUCCGCUUCAGGAUGGGCCCGCGGCCCAUUAGCUUGUUGGUGAGGUAACGGCUCACCAAGGCUGCGAUGGGUAGCUGGUCUGAGAGGACGAUCAGCCACACUGGGACUGAGACACGGCCCAGACUCCUACGGGAGGCAGCAGUGGGGAAUCUUGCGCAAUGCGCGGCAGCGUGACGCAGCAACGCCGCGUGGGGGAAGAAGGCCUUCGGGUUGUAAACCUCUUUCAGGAGGGACGAAGCUUCGGCAGCGAAUAGCUGUCCGGAGUGACGGUACCUCCACAAGAAGCCCCGGCUAACUACGUGCCAGCCGCCGCCGUAA
rnacentral:rRNA from 1 species